rnacentral:misc_RNA from 1 species
UCCUGGUUAACCCAGGCAGUCUCAUUAGAGUUCCCACCUUUACGCGUUGGCAACUAAUGAUAAGGGUUGCGCUCGUUGCGGGACUUAACCCAACACCUCACGGCACGAGCUGACGACAGCCAUGCAGCACCUGUGCAGCAGUCCCGAAGGAAGAUGCUAUUUCUAGCACUGUCUACUGCAUGUCAAGUCUGGGUAAGGUUCUUCGCGUUGCAUCGAAUUAAACCACAUACUCCACUGCUUGUGCGGGUCCCCGUCAAUUCUUUUGAGUUUCAGCCUUGCGACUGUACUCCCCAGGCGGUAUACUUAUCGCGUUAGCUACGGCACAGCCAGGGUUGAAUCCAGCUACACCAAGUAUACAUAGUUUACAGUAAGGACUAC